rnacentral:tRNA from 1 species
GCCUGGGUGGCUCAGUCGGUUGAGCGUCCGACUUUGGCUCAGGUCAUGACCUCGCGGUCCAUGAGUUCGAGCCCCGUGUCAGGCU